GAAUAUUGGACAAUGGGAGAAAGCCUGAUCCAGCCAUGCCGCGUGUGUGAUGAAGGCCUUUUGGUUGUAAAGCACUUUAAGCGAGGAGGAGGCAACUUAGACUAAUACUCUACGAUAGUGGAGGUUACUCGAAAAUUAAGCACCGGCUAACUCUGUCCCAGCAGCGGCGGUAAUACAGAGGGUGCGAGCGUUAAUCGGAUUUACUGGGCGUAAAGCGUGCGUAGGCGGCUUUGUAAGUCGGAUGUGAAAUCCCUGAGCUUAACUUAGGAAUUGCAUUCGAUACUGGGAAGCUAGAGUAUGGGAGAGGAUGGUAGAAUUCCAGGUGUAGCGGUGAAAUGCGUAGAGAUCUGGAGGAAUACCGAUGGCGAAGGCAGCCAUCUGGCCUAAUACUGACGCUGAGGUACGAAAGCAUGGGGAGCAAAC
rnacentral:rRNA from 1 species